UACGUAGGGUCCGAGCGUUGUCCGGAAUUACUGGGCGUAAAGAGCUCGUAGGUGGUUUGUCGCGUUGUUCGUGAAAACUCACAGCUCAACUGUGGGCGUGCGGGCGAUACGGGCAGGCUAGAGUACUGCAGGGGAGACUGGAAUUCCUGGUGUAGCGGUGGAAUGCGCAGAUAUCAGGAGGAACACCGGUGGCGAAGGCGGGUCUCUGGGCAGUAACUGACGCUGAGGAGCGAAAGCGUGGGGAGCAAACAGG
rnacentral:rRNA from 1 species